GCCGUCGUAGCUCAGGGGUAGAGCACGCCCUUGGUAAGGGCGGGGCCGGAGGUUCAAUUCCUCCCGACGGCACCA
rnacentral:tRNA from 1 species